UUGUUUUUUUUUUUUUUUUUUUUUUUUUUUUUUUGCUU
rnacentral:ribozyme from 1 species